GUGAUAUCGCUGGAAAUAAUUUGUGUAGCAUGGAAGACAUACAGAUCAUGCGAAGGUGCAGUGCACCCAAUACAUGUACAUACUAAUCUAGAAAAUACACGGAAUAUUGCCAAAACUUUUGUGCCGCUCGCCUUUGCACUCGGAACAACCUGGAUCAUCGGCAUAUUUACUACCAUAAGAGGAACACUGAUUUUCGAUUAUAUUUUCAGCCUAACAAAUGGCCUACAAGGCGCUUUUAUCUGCCUGUCACAGUGUGUGUUUAGCAAACAGGUCAGAAAGGCAUGGAAAAAACAGAAUGACAGAAAGAACUGACUUUGAUUGUCGUGGAUGAAUGUUUGGAUAUGCCACUGAUUACCUGAUUACCAGCUUUUUCUGGAAAUUCUUGAAUAGUAAUGUAAAAAUAAACGUUUGACAGAUGAUCAGUAUAAAUUAUAAUUAGUACAUUGUACUACACGAACUCAUUAGACUUUUAUUUUUCUAGUAUUAAAA